CUCUAUGUGAGGUGCAGUGGGGCGCACUGUUCAAUUCCGCGUGCCCAAUAUCAGAAACAGCAAGGUUCCCCAUAAAGAAUGCUGCACUAUUGGCCAAAUGGUUGGAAAGCAUGAAAGCUAGCUCAUAUGCAGUCACAAGCAUCAUGUUCAUUUUCUCACUCCACUUCGAGAAGUCAUGCUUCUACAGUGGUCUUGAGCGAGUGCGUCUGAAAGAACGCGCUGUGCCAACUCUCUUCAACUUUCAGGAAGAGACUGGACAGGGUGGUACUUCAAGAGUGUCCAUUGGAGGCACUGCGUACUGCGCAGUCCCAGCCACCCUGUGUUGAUGUUCCUGCACUGGCACGGCUGCUUCCAGAAACUGAAAAUCCACCGUUGGACAGACCAAGCUGCUCUCGGGAAUCUGCAACGGGCCAGGACAGUUUAUCGAGCACUACUGCAGAGACAGUGGAAGUAGGGCAGGACACCACCCUCUCAUUCGAGCUCUCUGAGGAAUCAAUACCCGACUUGGACAGACCGAGCAGCUCGUAUCAACCAAUCGUGGAAGAUGAAAGCAGCAGAGGUGCUGAGUGGCGAGCCCUCCAGGAUGAGCUGCUACGGGAUGAAACCAUGUCAACAACAUUAGAGGAGACAGAUAAUGAAGAAGCUGCCUCAAAGACUGGUGAACCACCGCCUGAGUGGCUGGAACAUAACUAUUUUUACUGGGAGACACCCCGCAAGAAGGUUAAAAGACUUUCCGACAACCUCUGGAAAACAAGGAAAAGACUCUACGCUUCCCAACAAGACCUAAAGCGCCAAGAUGCAAAACUUCUGAACCUCAAGUAAAUGAUUGAAAGGAUGAAGAAAGAUACCCUUCUGUCUUCAGAAGCAGCAGCACACAUAGGAUCCCUCAAGGAGCUCCCAAAGGAGCUACAUCCUAAAGGUCGCAGGUACGAUGAAGAGACACGUAACUUUGCAUCGACCCUCCAUUUUUAUUCUGCAAGAGCAUACGAAUUUGUUGCAAGUCGUUUUCUCAUGCCUAGUGAGAUGACAAUACGGAAUUGGCUUCAGGUAGUGGAAGGAUUUCCAGGCUUCACGAGAGAGUCAUUGGAAACGCUGAGAAAGCAAAAUCAAAGCUCGACAGACCACGACAAAUUGUGCACGAUUAUGCUUGAUGACAUGAGCAUCGUGACGCACUGCCAGCUUGACACAAAGAGUGGAAAACUUGUUGGCUAUGUGGACUGUGGAAGCACAUCACUACCAAGAGACACAAGGAACCUUCCGCUUGCGACAGAAGCUUUGGUGCUCAUGGCGUUGCAGCGCACUGGAAGAUGCCAUUUGGGUAUUUUCUACAGAGAGGAAUGACGGGCGAAAUGCUCAAAAACCUUGUUACUGACGCAAUCCUGUCCCUGGAGGACUGUGGUCUUCACGUCGUAGGCAUUGUCUGCGACGGGUUAUCAGCAAACGUUUCAAUGGCACGGCUCUUCGGAUGCAAUG